CGUCCCCGCCCCCAGCCCGGUUUUCCCCCGUCUUUUGGAUUUCUAGAACCGUCAGAUUUUCAAAAGGAAACAACAAACCCGAAAUCUUUUCAACUUUUUAUUUCGCCUAAUACGGAGCUAUAUUACUUCAUGCAGAACACACAGACCAAGUUCAUCUAUCCGUGCAAGGGCAAGUGAACUCCACAGCCCGCGCCAGACCUUUAUAAGUACGGGGCGGGGCCUGGGGACUGAGGACUAACUGCGUGUCCGGAGUUUCAUAAUCGCCUCCGGGGGAGGAGUGGCCGGAGGACUGUCCGGAUGUCAUCCUCCCUCUCUGAACACCUGCGAGUGGCUGAGGAAUGAAACAAUGCUCUUCGGGCACAAAGUAUAUUUGAAGAUAGGACAGUUUGGGAAGAAAAUAAUCAAGUCAUAGAGAAUUUUCCAACUAGGAAGUGACUUAAAGACAUCAACCAGAUCAGCAAUUCCCAAUCUGAGAGGUUUGGGGAUCUUCUUUGUCAAAUGAUGAGACUAAGGCAAAAUAGUAAGGAAUUUGUUCAAGGCCCUUCAGCUCAUAAACAACAGAGACGGGAUUCAAACCAGGCAACCUGACUCCAGGUGGUACCAGACUCUUUCACCAUCACACUGUAUUGCUUUGACCCAUAGCAACACCUGGUUCACUGAAAGUGCAGUGCUUGUUAUAUGUGCGACGCUCUCAGAUAUUUUCAUUAAA